UUUGCUGCUAUCUCUAAGAAAAGGGGGUAAAUGGUAUGGGCUAGAACCUUGCGGAUCGGUUUUAAACUUCUCCUGGGGUAUUUACCACGUCCCAGGUCGGAAACGAAACUAACCCACCCCAGCCCCCUUUUUAAGGAAAAACAAUUGCCUCUGUGUCACGGGCAAGUACGAGUCCCGCAGCGCGUGGAGCAGAAAAUGGCUAGCUUUAAGUCAUGCAAAUAAAGGAAAACGGCAGCUCACUGUUCUUCCCUUUCAUCUUGGGACUGCUGGGUGUUCCCUUAGAUGGGGAAUUUAGAACUUCAAACGCUCCGGAAAGGUUUGGACAAGAAAACCGCGCGACCCAGCUCUGAAUUGUUAUUCGGUGGCGUUAUCAGCCAUGUGCUGCUGCUUUUGCUUUUAGCGGUGAAAAUCACACCACACGAGCUUCGGACACACACAAAAAAAUGAAUCUCUGAAAGGCACAAGACAGUUUGAGUGUGAGAGGCUGUGAAGGUCUCAGGAGCUCCAGGACUUUUCUUCCCUCAAAUCAGCCAUAUUCUUCCCUGGAGAGAUUACCUUGAUCUGAGAGCCAAGAAGAUGACAUUGGACCUAAGAUUUGAAGGCAAUGUGGAAGUGAGCCAUGUGAACAUUCUCAGUCUCAGAGAAGAGACUGACAGGCAAGGGGACCAGCCAGGGCAGAGCCCUUGAGGUGAGAGUGUGGCCGAUGUGCUCCAGCGAUAGCCGGAUGGACAGUGAAACUGGAGUGGUAUGAUCAAGGGGGCAAGUAGAACAGGGUGAUGUGAGAGCCAAGAGAGGGCCAAGUACAGGUCGUUGAAGGUCAUUGUAAAGAUUUUGGUUUUACUCUAAAAGAAAUGGGAGGCCAUUGAAGGAUUUUGAAGCUGAGGGGUGAUUUGAUUUGACAUACAUUAAAACGGUAUCACUCUGACUGCUGAGCAAGGGUGGAAUUAGGAAGAAUCAGAGAGACAAUUGGAAAAUUUUUGCAAUAAUGGUGAUACUCAAGGCAGUUGGUAUCAGGGAGGUAGUGGGAGUGCUUAAAUUCUGCAUGUGUUUUAAGGUAGAACCAAAAGAUUUCCUAUUAGACCUCAAGUAGAACGUGAGAAAGAAAGGAGUCAAAACUUGCGGUUCAGUCACUUUCAUUUCAAGAAAUAGUACCUCAGGAAGUAUAUUCAAAUUCAUUUCUUCCCUAUUAGGUCAGACCCAAAGUUCUUAAUUCGGUAAUCUCACAUAUUUAAAAAUAUUGUCCACAGUAAUAAUAAAAACAACACCCUACAACCUGUUAAGCAUCAAGUCCUUUAAUUCAACUACCUCAUGAGGCAGGUAUUAUUUUCCACUAUUUUUACAUGUGUAAACAGAGAUGUGAUUAAUAACCAACAGCUUAGGACCAACCGGAAACAGCCAAAUAUGCACCCCUAACCAUUAUGUAGGAUGCCCUGCUUCUAGUUAGCCCAGCUAUAUCUUCCUCAUGCCAAUAGCCACAUACCUGAAGCCUUCCUCUUUUUUCACCGUAAA